UAACCUCUGACGAUACGCGUGAAUGUUG
rnacentral:ncRNA from 1 species